rnacentral:lncRNA from 1 species
CUGUAUUACAUUAACUAAAACUUUUUUUCAAGAAAUCCAUUGAUUAUCUCGUGCAUAACAUAACUUAGAAUUUGGCCACCAAAUUGGUACCUCAGAUGUGAUGCACUCUGAGAAGUAUGGAGCCAAUGGUGUAUCAACAAGAACUAAUCUGUAUAGCUCACGCAUGUUUUGUGCAACAGCAAGGGUUGCAAUGCUGUCGAAGAAAAGCAAGAGCUGAGAUACCAUCAUAGAUGGUAGAACCAAUGAAAGCAAGACUCAGCAGUACUGCAAAUAAAUACCUGUCAAACAUACCCAAAGGAUGGCAUUUUUCUAAUAAUUCCUGAACAUCUCUCUCAUGCAAUGUACCAGUGACAAUAAGGACAACAUUAUCAAUCAUGUGACCAUACCUGCAAGCAACAAUAGAAGAAUGCGAUUUUCAUUACAAGCCAAAAAUUCUACCUUGCAAGGUGGAAUUCUGAGGAUUGAGAAUUUUUUUUAAAAAAAUAUCAAGAAAAAAUUGCAGAACAUAGUACCUACGUUAUAUACUCCAAAAAAGUUGACAACGGCUCCGUGGCUUGGCAUAACAUAUGUUUGUAUUCAUCAACCAGUUUCAGAGUGCAUUUCUCCACAAUUGUAGUCGUAUGUAAAGGAGAAGGCUCUGCAAGAAGCGAAAAGGCUUCGUCUCAAACAAUCAAGUUACAAUACCAAAAUAAAAACAAGAAUGUGUAAAUUGCACAAAAAAAAUCAAUAGGCACAUACUUAAGAUGCACAACGCUUUAUAUAGCUACCAUUAUUAAGGCAAUUGAUGAACUAGAACCAUCAAGAAGACCAUUUUUACUGCAAUCUGACUGAAUCACUAUGCUGUUCCAUUAUUUUGUUUUUCAGAUGAGAGCUCGCGCCUUUUACAGCAGCAAAAAAAAUAAUGUCUUAUGUCUAUAAUUGCUAAAAAUCCUUUUUGAACUAACACGAUGGCAAUGCACGGCCACUAUGUAGGCAUGUUGCUCGGUAACGUGCGCAGUGGUUCCAUGUGGAACUGCAAAACAAAUUGCAAACAAAAGAACCCAAAUUGAAACACCUAUAAAACCCAUUUGGCUGAAGCUAUUAAAUUCUCCUGGCCAGUCCCCAACAAUUCAUCGAUAAAAAGGUCAACUUCGUGGAUAUUUAGAAUUCUGUUCUCAAUUUUCCACAUGAGAACAUCAGUCUUGUUGAUCUCAAUGAAAUAUAAACCUUCGUAUUCUUCUUCAACUGUAAUAUUCCAAUAUGGACAUCACAUCAUGCUUUCAGGAAAUCUUUCCUCAAUGACUACUGUUUUAAAAAUAAAAAUGAUCAUUGCAAUACAGGCAGGCAAAAAUAAAAAAACAAAAUUUCUUGCGGGGAUAAAUGGAAGCCAAUUUGAACCGGAGGACAGGGAGAGGGAUCUGGCUAACCGUUCUGGAGGUAGGGGCCAUACUCGGUGGCGGAGAGGUGCAUCUUGAUGUCGUCUAGGGUUUCGCACUGGCAGAGAUUGUUGUAGUCGGCGGCGGUGAGCAGGCCAGACCUGUGGCCCCGGACGAUCGCCUCCAGGUACCCCCCAUGGAUGUUGAACGUUAGGGCUUCGAAUCCAUACAUCUUCGCGUUGAUAUCGGCCCAGGGAAAGGGAGGAGACUAGAUUCAAGCACCAAGCUCUCGGAUCUGGCGCGAGAUCGAAGAAUUCGAAAGAUCGAGAGAGAGCUGAAGAAGAAAGCGAAGAUAAGGAACGCGGAACCCUAGAAAUCCAGAGGGCGUAUUCGAUAGACGGAACGGAAAUCCGCAGCUAAAAAUUAAGAAAUGGUUCAUAUAUUAGCAGGUGUCCUCAUUGGGUUGGGCAAAUAUUUUAAGCCAGUUGGGCUCAAUUCAUAGGUUUUUUGGGUGAGCUCCGAUCCUACUUUCGGCUGCGAACAUAUAUUAGUUUGAGCUUGGGGUUGGCGUUGGGAGCCCGCCAGCCCACAUCAACCCAGCCCGAUAUUUGAAUAAUGCGUCGCGGAUUUUCCAUAAAACAUCCAUUAAUUAUUGAUUUUGCAAAAAAAAAAUAUUUUCUUCCAAAAUGAUAUAUAUAUAUAUAUAUAUAUAUAUAUAUAUGUAGUUUACUUAAAAUUAGUAUNNNNNNNNNNNNNNNNNNNNUAAUAUAUAUAUAUAUAUAUAUAUAUAUAUAUAUAUAUAUAUAUAUAUAUGAGUUUUCUAAAAAAAUUUGGAUGAUAGUAUAAACAAAUAUAUAUCAAAUAUUCAAAAAAAAUAUACAUCGGGCAUUCAACAAUUGUUCAUCAUGUAUUAAAAAUGUAUGUUCUAUAAAUAUAUCAAUCCUCUUAUGACGUGUGGCAUAUCAAUAGUGUGGGAGAACUCUUUUAGGAUGGUCAGGUUUUUAGGGUUUAUCUUAUUUUAAAGUCAGAUAUUUUGCAAUUUAGUAUGUGAUGGCGAACCGGCCAAUGAAAAGGUUUAUGUCAUGCUUGUUAAAAACGAAAACAAAACGUAUAUAAUAACUUUGCCUUUGUAGCAAACCAAUUUUAUAAUGACUUUAUAUAUAUGAAUGUUGUCAUUAACAAAAAAUAUAUAUAUUGCUAUAUUUUAGCUACUUUUAUUUUUUAAAAAAUAUUAUCACAAUUCUCAAAAAAAAUUAAAGAGUAUGUCAUAUAGAUAUUUUUUGAGAAAUAUGAUGACAGCCCUACCAUCAGGAUUUAUAGUAGAAUAAUUCUUGUCUCUGACACUGGUUAAAUCUAUUCAAAAUUUUGUAUAUAUGGCUUUUAACUUGGUCAUUCGUUGGUACCUCAGGAAUGGGCAUGAAGAUAAGGCCGUGGGUUUGUUUCUUGAGGCUUUGGAAAUGGGAAUAGAGUUUGAGUGAGGUUGCCAUGACUUCACUUUUGAUGACAAAAGGAUUGGAUGAAGGGAAGCAGCAUGCUUUAGUUAUUAAGUUUGGAUAUUGUGAUAGCAAUGAUAAUUUACCCAUGUUUGGCCCUUUGAUUGGAAUGUACUCCGAGCACCACUAUUUGGAUGAUGCACUUCACAGGUUUUUCUUCGGUGUGGCAAGAGCCAAAAGGUUAUAAAUCUGUAUGUGAGAAUGGUUGCCGGAAUCUUAUCUAAAAAAAACUAGUUGAAAGUAUUAUUUAGAUUUUUUGAUCUUAUAUAAGUGCCUAAAAUCUGUCUAGUACAUAAUUGGUGUGGAACUAAGCACACGCAUGCACAGGUCAUCACAAUCACUGCUCUCAGCUACCGAAAUUCAUAGAAAUUGUGGGUUGGGUGAGUACACAGCAAGAAGGUUGCUGAAGAUGAAUUCGAGAUAUCCCAGGACAACUAAUUUAGAUAUUUUACUCUAAUCCUUUUGACGCAUUAAUGCUCAUUUCCAUUAUAUGAUUGCAUGCGCAAGUAUUCUUUUCUGCUAUUUGAUAUGUUGUUAGAAAUACAAUAACAUUAGUUUGCAACACAUAAACAGUAUCCAUAUUAUAUAAUUACCCGAGGGAUAAUUCAUGAAUAAAUUGCAAUCCAUGGAUAACUAAGAAUAAUUGGAAGUUUGUGGAUUAAUUCACAUCUAGAGAACAGUACAGAUAAUUACUUACCCAACAGAAAAAUUGGGAAUAACUCAAGAAUCUUUUACUGUUACUGUAUUCAACUUCCUAUGGAUCAUCAACACACGCACAGACACACAUUUUGCAAAGACCAAGGAAAUAAAACGAGAAGAAAAAUGUGAAAGUAGACAAACAACAUGUCCACAGCAAUGUCAAUUGGACAUCAUCACAAGAUGGUGGAGUGGGUGGCUCAUAACAGUAGGAAGGCGUUCACAUUUAGCCUUUUGGCCAUAUGACAAAGCGGUGCAGAUGGAUCAAAGCUGGAGCAGUACAUUGACUGGGAUCAAAACAGUGAUUUGGUAAAAGAAGUCUGAAGACAUUUUUUAAGGGAGAUGUAUGUGAAUAUCUUAGAGGAAAAGGGGCAGUGCGUUUCUCUUCCAAGUUCCAAGCAUGUCACCCUGGAUGAAAUCCAUUGGAAACAACGACCAACGGAAAUAACGCUACUUGCGUGAAGAAAUGACCCACACCUGAGAGAGUGAGAGGGCCAUUUCUAAACCGCACAACGAAUCCUAAACCAACUACAAGCCAAAUCUCCGGCAAGAGUUAGAUGGGCGAGUUGGCCAAGGAAACGCUCUCGUCAUUGCAUAUACCUGGGCUUGACCAAGCUCAACUCCAUCUCUAUCCCACAAGACAAGAUUUAUAUAGCCCAUAGCUCGGGUUUCUCAGCUCUUUCUACCUUCUGUCUUUUGCUGCCGUGAUGGCCAGGUUUGGCUUGGACUCAGCUGGCUGUCGUCUUCUCCUAUAGGCCAGUAGAUUUGUCUUGUCUCUGCUUGCCCUUCUCCACCCUAUCUUCUAAACUUAGGCACAUGAAACUGUUUUCAGACUUUGGCAUUAGAUACAAAUUAGGAAUUAGACCCUAGUAAUUUGACGUCAGAAGUCCACAGGGUCUCGCGAGUUAUGCCACUAGUUUCUCUUCUUGUGGAUGGCCAACCGCUCACGGACAAAUGGACGUGGAGAUUUAUGGCCAACCAAAAUGUACAGAUCGAAGAGGUUUCAUUCAGUUUCGACCUUACUCGAGGAUAAAAUGAUAUCAUUGGGAUGGGCUUGGUCUGGCAGGCAAAGUUAGGACAAAGGGGUUUGGCAUGAAAUGGUCCUGAAAUCACCGUCUGCCUUCGUCUUAUUAGUCACACAAUGGAACGAAAUCAUGAGGCGUAGGACCCAAUAUAUAACACAUGCAUUUGUGAUUAGUCCUGGUAAAGAUUCCAAAGCUUGAGACCUUGCCUUCUCCUCAUUCAUCUUGCACCACCUCAAGGAGGUAGGAAGGAAGGAAGGCAUGGAUGCGAAGUUGGUGAAGAGUGAGGUCAAUAGCAAUGGAAGGCGACUACUAGGCAUGGCAACCGGUCCACAGGACGGCAGCGAGACGGUCAAGUUCGUCAAGAGAAGGAGACGAGAGCCUGCGUUUCUGGCGACUGCAACCUAUAGCAAUGGGGAGAUCAUUGAUCAGUCUGCUACCAGCAACACUACCAAAAGAAGUUCCAGGUUUCGUGGAGUGAGCAGGUACGGGUGAUAGUCAAAUAAUAAGCUUUCAGCAAUUAAAAUUAAAGACUAUAGCUGAGAGGCAUCAGAGUAAUGACAUAUAUCCAGAGCUAACAUUGUGACACCAAUUUCAAAGUUUAUAGCAAAAUAAAUUCGUGUUUAAUAAUUCAUUUGCAUAUUUUCAUUCCACAACAUUCUUGGCAGUUAAUUAAUAGCAAUGGAUCAUGCAGGCAUCGAUGGACAGGCCGUUUUGAAGCUCAUUUGUGGGACAAAGCGUCUUGGAAUGUCACACAGAGGAAGAAGGGAAAGCAAGGUCAGAUUAUUUUGUAUUUCACUUCUUGCAUCUUCUACCUUGUUUGUUUAGCAAGCCUUGUUUGCACUAAAAUCAUUGAUUUGAUUUUUUUUUUGUUUGUUUCAAUUCAAACAGUUUACCUUGGAGCUUAUGACGAGGAGGAAGCAGCAGCAAGAGCUUACGAUCUUGCUGCACUCAAGUAUUGGGGACCUACCACCUUUACAAACUUCCCGGUAUAAUUCAAAAGAAAAUCUAAUCCAGUUGUUAUUUUCCUACUUGUCUUUUGCUUGCGUAGUUUCUUAUGCUUAUAAAAAAGUAGAAAUAUUCUUGUUUCGUGAUGAAUGACUGAAUUAAUGCAUCCUCAUCUAUUAAUUGUACAUUUGUGGAUACAUCCGAUUUUAACUUGCAAUCAAUGGGACAAUAAUUUCAGGUUUCUGACUACGAAAAAGAGAUACAAAUAAUGCAGAACGCAACUAAAGAAGAGUAUCUAGCCUCAUUAAGGAGGUACUAAGAUCCUGCUCUCUUUGUGCGCUCCAAAAACUUCAAAACCCUUCAAUGGUCGGAACUUGGCUCCUUAAUCUUGUGUAAUUUGGUUUGAUAACAGGAAGAGUAGUGGUUUCUCAAGAGGCGUAUCCAAGUACCGUGGAGUUGCAAAGUAUAAAUUCUUAAACAGAAUAUAUUUAACUCUUUUGCACGCUGAAACUCAUUAAUAAGGAAUAUUAAAGAUCAUAUGAAUUGCAUAAACCGCAGGCACCAUCACAAUGGAAGGUGGGAAGCAAGGAUAGGAAGGGUUUUUGGAAACAAAUACCUCUAUCUUGGCACUUACAGUAAGCACUAAACUCUCAUAUACUUGUCAGUUGCCACCUCUUACCUCCAAAUGAAAACAUAUAAACAUGCUAUAAUUGUUGCAGGUACUCAAGAGGAGGCAGCUCAUGCAUAUGAUAUCGCUGCAAUUGAGUACAGAGGGAUCAACGCUGUAACCAAUUUUGACUUGAGUACAUACAUCCGAUGGCUAAGGCCAGGGGCCACCAAUGCCUUGAACAGUACCCAAGUGCACCACGUCAGGCGUGAAGCUUAUGCAGAACAACCCCUCGCCAACCUCUUUUCAGCAGCUGAAUCUGGAACACUACUCUCGCACCGCAGCCCCUUCGUCUUAGAGGAUAUGAUCUCACCAUGUAAGCAAGAGCUCGUACCUCAUGAGUUUCCUGGUAGCAGCUCAAGUAGCAAGUCCUCCCCAACUGCAUUAAGCCUCCUAUUUAAGUCCUCAAUGUUCAGGCAACUUGUGGAGAAGAAUUCUAAUGCACCCAACGUGGAGAUUGAGGGGGAGGACAUAAAGGAUCAGAGACAAAUACGGCCAGGAGCUGACAGUGAGUAUCAUGGGGUUUUUUACGAAGGAAUCGCAGAUGCAUCAUAUGGUUACUCUCCAAACGGCGACAACAAGCAAGGAAUUGAGCUGCAGGAGAGCAUUUCCUACUAUGAGCGGAGUGAGCAAGCAAUAUGGGAUGGGGUUGCGAACAUGGCCUCGUUGCAGUAGCCCGAAGGGAAGACCUUGAGGGAGAGAAGGGCGAGAGGGCGACAGUGGAAACGACAGCGAGAGAGAUCUCAAAAUCAUAUGAGGUGAUUCUCUCUUGUGUGAUGUAAAGUUGUCUCUCGAUUUCCAGUUUCUGGGCCCGAAGUUCCUUUCUUUGUGCUAAUAAAUGAUACGAAUAAAAAUACUGGAAUACUUUAAGAAUGUCUCCUGCAUCCAAAUUCUAUGCUCGCAUGAUAUCUAAUGAUCGGUGUCACAGUGCCAAUGAAUCUGAGGUGAAAAUCAACAAUAAUGUGUCAUUUGAAUGAUUGAAAUCAAAUGCUUUCUUUGGUUGUGUUGGAAAAAGAAACUUAACAUUAGAGACAACCUCGGAAAAAAAUUGGGUAAGAAUCUUGGCGGUUGUGUUUUGUGCCAUAAUACAAAUGAGACCGUUGAUCAUUUCUUCUGCACCUAUAAGUUGAUCUUUUCCAUUAUAUAGAAGACUAUUUCCCAAACAUAUAUAAGUACCAUGUUGGGCAACUGGGGACCUUCUUAAUUUAGUAUCCAAUCUGAAGAAAAUUGAAUAGACUGUCUGGCAUAUCUGCCAAUUCUAAUAUGAUGGAUGAUCUUGGUUUCAACUGGUGUUGUUGGGCACUGUUUCUUUGAAAAUUAGGCACUAAUUAUUUUUUACUAUGGAAAUGGUGGUAAGUAAAGUGACAGAGAGGACAAAAGAAAAAAUGGAUUGAAUGAAGGUCAAUGCUGGCAGGGAGAGCAAAAGAGCUUGGAUAGAGUGAGAAUGGUGUUUUUCUUUUAAAUUCUUGUAAACUGUCUUACUUGAUGAUGGCGAAAUCUGUGCAAGAACAGGGGAAGAUACUACAUCCAUUGUUUAUAUAGAAAGUGAUAUGCUGCCUUUCAGCACUGACUACAUAUUAACCUAAAAAAUUAUGAAGCAAAAGGGUGUAGAUCCAGCCUAGGAAAUGCAACUAUUUCUUUAUCAUAUGUUCUCUUUCUCAAGAAGAAUGCAGGUUAGUUGUGACACACUUGCAGCUUUGUAGUGCCCAGGCUGCGGUAGGGUAACCGAUGAUCAUAGGUUUGUGGCUAUUGGAACUAUGACAAUGAUGAUGAUGAAGCUUAAUAGUACAUUAAAUGUAUGGUUCGAGACAAUUUCUCAAGCAAGCAAAUGUACGUUAUCAAGGGAUGUUCUCUUGUAGCUAGUGCACAUAUUUGUUUAUCUUGUGGCUUGUGUCUCUUAAUCUUCUUACAUGGUUUCUUUUGCUUGCAUGGUACAAAAUAUAUUUCCAAUCUGAUUUACUAAUUUAGUGAACCGGAGCUUGCAAACAUUGAGCAACUAAAAAGAAAAAAUGUAUGGUAAAACUUUUGUGUUGAUUGAAAGAAUUUUCUUUAUCUCUUUUAUAACAAUGCUCCUCCAUGCCAAUACAUGUAUAUCGAUCUCGCCACCGACAGGAAGAACUGAGUUCUCUGCUAAAGGAUAAUGUGCGAUGGUAAAUGGGCAGUUGAGGCCGGGAAAUGUCAUCAUAAUUGUUCUUCCCAAUGAUCAGACCUCUACAGCAGUAUUCACUGCUAAAGAUGUAUUCUCCUUGUAUUUUGCAAGCAUCAGCUGUAUUUUCGUGAAUGGACUUAAGACAAAGCAUGGUUUUAUUUUGGAAAUAUUGUUGCUAUUAAUUGAUGAUUUCAUAUGUGGAACCAAGGAGAGAACUUCCUUUUAUCAGGCUGCAAUUCUUUCAAAUUACAACUAUAUGCAGUUUUCCAUUCACAAAACAAAACUAAACUGCCCCAAGUUUGCGAACAUCUCUUAGGCAUGAUAGGCUCUGAUUAUCCUCCAAUGUCAAAAACUAAUCUACCCUUAAAUGGAUUCUAGCUUGGCAGAGGACCUGUUCUGGUUGCUUUGAUAUGUCUGAUCAUAUGCAUUGGUUCUCUCUGCAAUAUCUUCCAGCGUAGGAGAUAUGUUUCUUUUGGUUAAAGUUAUUGAAAGCUAACUUAUUAAUCUCUCUGGCCAUGGGCAUUUUCUCCAGUGUUUUUUUUUACAUUGGAUCCUGCCGCUUAGGUGUUUGACCCCCUCCUUUAAGAUAAACAAUGAAACCCUAAUUUUGGGAGCCGAAGCUAAACCAGCUUCCUAAUGGUGGUCCAACCGAAUCACGGUCUCGGUGCAGGGAAACUAAAUCAUGUAUCCUUUUUUGUCAAGCAAAAAGAGAGAAUAAAAGGAAGUUUGAACUGGUAAUUUAUAGAAUCUCACUUUGGUGCAAGGUACUAGAAAAAGCUAGGACCGGCUUUACACAAGUAGAGCAGUAUUUCUAUUUGUCCAAGAUCUUUCUGAAAUAAACAGCACUCUUAUAAUAGUUAGAGAAAAUACCAAUCUUGUUGGAUACACCAUGGCCCUAUCGCACAACAAGCAAGUGGAUCAUUUGCAAUGGGACAUUUAAAUAGUUUUAUGAGAAAUUUCAUUCACUAUUAUGUCAAAUUGUGGAUGUUUACCAAAGCAGUAAAUAUAACAAUCUUUAUUUCGCUUCUUUCCCUUCAAUCUUCACCCUCAUUGUUCUCCUGUUGCGAAUUUCUACGUUAACGCAUCCUAUUUAAAGGAAUGCGAAAUUGCUUGCAUCGCUCGAGCCCCUGCGUGAUUCAAAAACUCUAGCUCUUCAGUAUUACAUAAUUGACAUCAAAGAGCCAUUUGCUGCUUUUUAACAAUAAAAAAUAAAGACUCCUAAAAUAUUAAUAAUUUAAUGAAUUUUGAUUAUAAUUUAUAUUUUUAAAUUUUGUUUAGGAAAAUAAUCAUCUUUAAUGUAUACUUCACGAGGAUGCUAAAUCGUGUAAUUGGUAAAGUUACUGGAACGCAAUUUUUUCUAGGUCUCCUCUGCCGGACAAAGAUAAAUUAUUUUAUCAUAUGCGAAGGUGUAUUCUGCACAUUUGGUGAGUCAAGUUAAUCAAACUAUCUGGCUUGCUAAAACACAACAUGACAACAAUUGUUAAGAGAUGACAUGAAUAUUAAACUCAAUAAAGAGUCCUAAUACAAAACUGCAAGAAUAAGUCAUUCUCCUCCAGUAUGUUGAGUUGCAAGGAAAAUCAUUAAAAAAUAAAAUAAAAACUAUGACUUCCAUGAAAAUAAAAAAAAUACAAAAAACAAAUUAUAGAUUUUUCAAAUUUAUAAGUUUUUUAAUAAACCAAAUAAAUAAAAAUUAGUUUUGUCAAGAAAAGCAAAUUUUUCAAUUAAUUUUUCUUGUAUCCAAACAUACACAGUGGAUUUGAUGGUGUAGCUACAAUGAACUUGUAGAUAGUCAAACUAAUCAUGCUAUCUAACUUGCAGCAUGGAAACGAUGUGAACACCAUCAUUAUCAUAUAAGAAGUUGUAAUCAUAAAAUAAAAGAAAACUCUGAAUGCUUUUAAUAGAUAGUAGAUUGGACACUGUAGAGACAAUAGACUUCAAAUAUGAAGCCCUCAAAGCAUAAUGUCAAGCAUCAAAGACUUGUUCCAUAUGACUCUUCUUCAUAGGCGGAUAAAGAUGCUAAAUAGUGUGCUGUCCAUUGCAACAACAAAUGCAAUCAAGCACUUGAAAGGGCACCAAGCAUGAGGACCAAUAUAAUUUUGCUUCAGUGCUUAAACGCCGGUGUGCGAUCAGACUUCAGAAUAUAAAACAUAGAAAAAAAUUUGAUCUCAUCCAAUUGUCCACUUGAGGACUGCCGGCACAACCUCUCGCACGUCUCCUUCCACUGUCCCCUCCUUGCCGACCUCCAACCUUCCUCUCACUCUCGUUUGGUUCCCCUCCCUCUCCAGCAGCCAGGGUUCAAAACAACAAUCCAAUGCUGUUGAAAUCACCAUUUAUCCUAAAAACUUAAGCUGAUUGGAUGAGCUAGAUUUAUUUAUAUAUUUUUAUAUUUUUUUACACUUCUUCUUAGAUGUGGACUAGACUUUUCUUUAAUGGGUGAUCCCAACAUGUGAAAUUUUUAAUAAUGGAAUUAAAGAGUGCAGGACAGUUCAAACUUAGGACUUCUGCUCUGAUAUUAUAUUGAAAUCAUCAUUUAUCCUAAAAACUUAAGUUGAUAGGAUGAGAUAGAUUUAUUUAUAUAUUUUCAUAUUUUUUUACAAANNNNNNNNNNNNNNNNNNNNNNNNNNNNNNNNNNNNNAUGACGGGAUCUUUAGAUAUGGAUGGUAUGGGACACGAUGCCGACCGUGGCAUGGAGGUGGUUUAGGCUUUAAUUUGGAUUCUAGUGGGCACGCUUCCAAACUGUGGCUUGGUUUUAGAGCCAACAUCUUGGAUGAUGCGUAUAAUUUGGAAGGCUCAAGAUAACGAUCUCCUGGAUGCCUAUUUUAUGUGCAAAUGAUGUGGUGUUUGUUUAACUCAUCUUUGAGUAACAGGAUAUUUGCUGUUUACAGUUGAUUAUAUUAUAUAGCAAUCAUUCCUACGCGGCUUUCAUGAGGAAGCUGCAAUGAAUGGUAAUCAACAGAACUGCUUCAAUAAUAUCAAGUAAGACUCUUGACGUUGAAACCAUGUGAAAGCAAAUUUUAAUCUUUGAUUUCGGUCAUCGGGAUUCCCAUUGGACAACCAAUAUAAUAGUUAGCAAUAACUAGAACAUAAUAAAUAAAUAUAUAGUUAAUUACUAUUAUAUUAAAUUUUUUGGUAUAUUAUAUUUAUUAUUGGAUUCAGCCGAGCUGUUUUUUUGGUACUCACACAAUAUGAAUACGAGUUCAGACAAUAAAAUUAAAAAAAUAUCAAAAAGAAACACAUAUAUAGUUUUUUGAAAAAAAAAAAUCAUUAGAUUGAUGGGUGGUAUAGAAAAUAAUCUAGUUACUAGUACUAUUCGUUUUUUAUUGAUACGAGUGGCUAGAAAGCUGUCGUACUCUCUCAAAGGCUGUUCGAUAGUGUUCUUUAACAAUUUUACUGUCUGAAUGAUUGGUUUUUCAAGUUGUCCAAUGAGCUCAUUUGCUUGCAAGAAUAUGAAUCGUUUUCCAUGUUAAGGUAUGUACGACAUCAUCACAGCGCUACAAGCUUAUAAUAAAGACGGGAGAUACCUAACGACUUCGGUUCUAACUUGAUCACCGAAANNNNNNNNNNNNNNNNNNNNNNNNNNNNNNNNNNNNNNNNNNNNNNNGGCCAAGUAUCUGUUUACAUGAUGCUCGAUGCAACCGCCUAAGUAGCGAAUCUGCUCCGUAAUAGAUAACUACUACUUUUUAAGUUUCUAUUUUCAGACGCUUCUUUUAAAUGCAGUCCACGUGAAGGUCGCCUGAAUAUUCUUCCACUCUUUCAAUCAGCGUACGCGGGUCGCAUCAUCUUUGCUUAUUUAUUAAGCCGGAUAUCUUCCAUCUCUCUCGACUCUUCUCUGCGUCUCUCCCCUUCUAUCCGAGCUCUCUUCCUGUUCCAAUGUCGAUCGUCCGGUGGCGGCCGGUCCUCCACCAGCCGCCCAGAGAAAACCCUAGAUUUCCUCCCCAUGAGCUGAGGAGAUCGAAGGUCCUUUGCCCGAUCCGCUACCGCAAACCCUUCUUCCCGGCUUCGAGAGGACUCUCCAACAACUAUGCUCGAAAGGCUCUUCGGAUCGUUAGGGCGGGGUUGGCCCCGACACCGUCUCUCGCCGACGCCGCGGAGACCGAUGUGUUGUUCUCGGAGACGUUCCCCUUGAAGCGGACCCAAACGGUAACUUAUUCCUUGCUCGAUUUGUCUCUCUUUCCGCUUCCAAAUUUGUUGGGGAGAUGACAGAUUAUUUUGAUCCGUCACUGUUCUUGGCGAAUCCGAGGGCGAUCGAGGUUCUUGCGAUCGCCUCAAGAUUCGUGCGGUGCUGGGUGGGAACCCAGUGGUAGGGGUGCUUUUCUUUUCUUUUUCUUUUUUUCGUUUUCCUUUGUGGUUUUGUAAUGGAGAAUUUGGGGAUGGCAGGUCGAGGGGAAGAUAUCGGUGAGAUUGGAUCCGGCUGAGGGGGAGGGAUCGAGAUGGCGGCUGGCGGUGGGGUGUAAUCUGGAAGGGAAGUGGGUUUUGCACUGGGGAGUCACCUAUUGCGAUGAUCUAGGAAGGUAAGCCGCGAAACUUUGCUAUCUUUAUAGUAGAAUCUUUCUUUGAAAAGAAAAGAAAGAAAACAGAAAAAGAAGGAAAGGAAGAUCUUUUUGUCUCCAACCAGGGAAAAAAAACAGAAAAGAAAAGUAGAUCUUUAUUUAAAGUCAAAACUUGUGCUAAAUGCUCCCCUUGCAUCUAUUGGAUAUGUUCGAUUUAUGUAUUCCUAUUUUUGUGCAAACUAGACUUACAUAGUCCGAGUUAAAAUUUGUAGUUUCUUGGCUUUAAUCUCAUAACGUUUUGUUCACAAAGAGGAAAUGCUAUCGGUUGACCCUUUUUGUGCUCUAAGGGGAUUUGUGCAAUUCAUGGAAAUUGGUGUGAUACACAGGUAGUUGCAUGCUGAGUUGCCAAGCCAGCAAGAUGUGGGCCCAUGCAACUUUUAGUGUGCACUAACUGGCACCCCAAAGCAUUUUCCGUUCACGAAUGGUGGUUCAAUACUUUAUGAUCUGCUGGAUCCUGAAAGAUGAUUUAUAUAAUGGAAGUCCUUUUUCAUAAAUUAAACAUUUAAUUAUACCUGCCGCUUAUGCCUUUUCCUUGUGUAUGAUUGCUUGACAAGGCUGAGCUUUGUAGUUUCAAGUUAUGCUACUAUAUGAAUGAAACUUACAGAUUUGGUAGAACUUAGUUGCUUUUGUCCAUGAAAAGUUUUUAGUUUAUUUUAUAUGAGAUUUACUCUGUUUUGAUAGGUACAUGUCUACUUGCAAAGUUGCUUCAUGUUUGCCUAUUUCUUUUUAAUAAUUGAGUUGUAAUAUUCCUAUUGCUUGCAGUGAAUGGGAUCAACCUCCUCCUGAGAUGAGACCUCCUGGCUCGAUUCCCAUCAAGGUAGCUACUCAUCUCUUGAUUAUCCUCUUUGUUUUCUCAUGCUAUUUGAUUUACAUCUCUUUCUAUAAGUACUAUUGUUCCUUUGGUCUAUCUCAUUGCCAUUUGUGGCUUCCUUCAGGAUUAUGCAAUAGAAACACCCUUGAAGAAUUCUUCAUCCGCUUUGAAGGGGCAGAUACUUCAUGAAGUGCAUAUUGAUUUUGAUAGUAAUAGUCCAAUUGCAGCUAUUCAUUUUGUUUUGAAGGUAUUUGGUCUUUAUACUUCUUGUUUCACGAAAAUUAGUGAUCUCCAUCCUAAUGUGAUUCAAACUAUAUCUUGGUUCAACUUAGUCUUCCUAGCAAGCUACCUUUUCUUCUAGUUUUUCGUCAGAAAUUAAUUAUGACUCAACACAUACUUUACGAUUAAGUUGUUGUAGUCAUCAAAUUUCUUUUCAACAUUUCAAGUUGGACUUGUUAAACUGAUGGCUGACUGGCAUAUCAAGUUGUAAUGACUUGUUAAGUGGGAGAUGAUAAUUUCAUGACUAUUUCGAAAUACUUUUUUCUCUAACACUUUGACAUAUAAUGUAUCAGGAAGAGGAAACUGGAGCAUGGUUUCAGCACAAGGGUAGGGACUUCAAAAUUUCCUUGAAGGAUUUUAUUGAAGAGGAAAACACUUCCAGUGGAAAGCAAGGAUUCGACAUAUGGAUAGGUUGAAAUGCUAUUAACUUCUUGUUAUCUUAGGCCAUAGUUUUUAAUUAAUACCUCUCUUCUUGAUUGUAAGCCGUCUGAACUUUUAUUUAUCUAAUAUAUUGCACAAGAAAAUCUAUGGUGGCGAUCAAAGAUGAUAUUUAGAAAAUCCUUACCUUCUAAAAAUUCUAAAUGCAUUGAUUUGAAAGCCUCUGAGCUAUCCUCUGAAAACUAACAAGAUUUAAAUGUGAGUGAAACCUUCAUGUUGUAAUUAUUAGUUUGCUAGAAUUUACCACAUGCUCUACAGAUAAAGGGAGAAUGGAGGAAUGAAUGGGCAAAGAGUAUCAUGGAAAGUGAAAGGAGGUAAGCCGCGAGGUUGCGGACAGAGUUAAGGGAGGCAAUUCGUUGAACACCUUACAGGUGUCUGCUCCCCACUUUAGCCGACCAAUGAAGACUACUAUGGCAAGCAAGGAGUCUUCCCCCUAUAUGCAGGAUGAUCAUGGACGAUGAUUGCCCAAGGUCGAUGUCGGCAGCCACGCUGGCAAUCUUAUAAGAUCUCCAAGGAGAUUGCUGUUCUCAUCUUGCUGGAAAGAGAUCGGUGACUCUCAUUAAGAAUUGGAGUCUACCUUAGUGGUGGUCAAGAGUUUGAAUUGGAGGGUUCUAAUUGAUUGGAUUGCUAAAGAUUUUAAGGAGAGAGGCAAGUUGUUAAACGAGGUUGAGGCUUUCUCUCUGGUCAAUGACCACUACUUGUUCCACUUCAGAAUUGAGGCUGAGUGGGACUUCAUCUUGAAGAAAAGCCCCUAGCUCAUCGCAAGCUAGAUUUUGGUGCUGGAAUCCUGGAAGCCGAAUUUUAUUCCAAGUGAGAAUGAGAUCAAAUUUGCGAUUUUAUGGGUAAGACUUACAAAACUUACGAUGGAGUAUUGGAAGAGAUCAACCAUCCUCAACAUAGCCUUUGUCAUUGGGAAACCCAUGUUUAUCGAUGAUUCCACCAACCAUCUUCGCAAGUUAGACUAUGUUAGGGUUUGCGUAUAGGUUGAUAUUUAUGCUCCGCUCAAGCUUGACCGAACAAUCAAAGGGAAGAAUGAGGUCUUUUGCAGUAAUUUAUUUAUGAGAACGUUCUGGUGGUGUGCUUUUAGUGCAACUGGAUUGGUCACAAUGAUGGGGAGUAUCGCUUCCCUUCCCUAGCCUCGCCCUCAGAUAGGGGCUAGCAACAGCUGCAACGAGAAAAUUUUGUUGUGUUGGACUAAGGUUUAGAAGACCGGAGCACCUUUGCCUUGUCAGCCAUGGUAGUAGACACAGGUGGGAAUCUAGGCAUGAUGGAGGCCUCGACAUCCAAAACGCCUGAGCACACAAGCUAGUGGGACCCCCCUCUCCAGCCAUUAUUUGGUCCUUAGCUGGUGACAACCAAGACGAGGAGAUCAAGAACUCCACGAACAGGGGACCUAAGAAAGAAGAUGGAGUCAACUCAAUCUAUUCAAGCCAACAUUCCUCUGGUUUACCCUGUUGCACCGAGUUCCCUCUAGACUCGGAGGAAUGGCGAAAGCCACCCAGGGUCCCAAGGUGCAAAUCAUUUAACCGCCUUCAUGAAAAUGCAACGGGGUGGCAAGGAACAGGUGGAAAGAUGGGAUCUAUAAUUGAGCUUUUUUUUGAGUCAAGCCAUUCAAAGGGCUCCUUGGAGCUCACUCAAGUGGCGAUCCAAGAACCGCCCAUAUGGUAGAAGCAUAAAGCAACACUGGUUUUGGCUAAGCUUGGCCCAUGCUAAAUGGGCCAGAUCUCCCAAUUCAUCAACACCUCAGUCCACCCACCAGAAAGCCCAAGUAAUUCUCUUGAAACUCAAACACUUGCGGCCCCCUAUAAUAAAGCCCAAGCGGCCAAGCCCUCCAAGUCUAAUCCGGCCAAGGCCAUGCUGCCUAAGACACCUAGACUCCUCUAGUUGCCCAUUUAGGUAGCGGGUACCAAACAUGGUAACGCCCCACCAAAAUCGCUCCAUUCCAACAACAUUCUUAGGAGGAAAUGGCCGAAACUAAGCUCAUGAUAUGCUCUUUCACUGUCCAACCAUCACUAUCAGCUCAUGAGUUAGUGGUCUUAUUUGUGAAGAGGGUGGCAGUUUGGCAUCCCUAGAAAUGCUUCAAUGAAGGAGCAUUGGAAUGUGGUAGCCGUAGAGAUGUGUUCGAUGGGCCUGGAUUGGUCUCUCAACCCCUUCAAUGAAGUAUUCCUUUAGAAUUGUAGGGGGGUUGGCAAACCCGCUUUGGUUCUUACAGUGAGAAGAUACAUCCAGUUGUACUUUCCCCAAGUUGAAAUGCAAUUGACUGGCCAAAGCCUUCUUCUAGCUUGACGAUGCUUGCUGAAUGAUUAGCUUUUUUAUGUUGUUGAGUCGCAGAGCCUCUCUGGAGGCAUUAUUGUCAUGUGGCAGAAGAAUAUUACGCAUGUGGAUGUUUUCCACCACAGUCCCCAGCAAGUCAUCAUUGUUAUUCAAGUCAAAUCUCAAACUGUAGCUUUGGGCUGCCAUCUAUGCUGACACUAAUCUUCACAAGUUUUGUGGAGGAAAGCCAUGGCGGGGACCUAAGGGGAUAUGUUUAUGCUAAGGACCUAUUUGUUCGCAGGAAGAGGAGGGAGAAAAAUGUGGUCAACGGAAAAAUGACAAUGUGGCUUAUGUUUGGUUGGAGGUUUCAAAUAGAAAGAUGGGAAAGUAGACUCCCCAUGGGAAUAAGUUGCUUACCUUUCGCGGAAAAUAGAAACUCGUGGGACAUGGAAAACCUACUUUUCCAUGUGCUAGAAAUCAAGGUGAAGUUCUCUUUUUCUAGAAAUACCCUUAAUCCUAGUGGCUUAUGUCCUUUUUUUUCUUUCUUGUAGUCAAUUUAUUAAGUGCAUAAAAGGUAUUUUACACAACUUUUCAGGAAAGUAGAUGCUCAAUGAAACAUAAGUCACUCCAGAAAGUGUGCUUCUUGUGCCCCUUUUCUAUAGUUAACUAAACAUGCCAAAAUCACUUUCUCAGGUAUAUUAUACCUAGGCAUCAACUUCUCAAGAAAUACAUUCCAGUGAGGUAAAAUUCUUCCUGUGAACCAAACAAGUCCUAAGAAGAUUGGAGUCUUGUGUUCUGUGAAUUCAUCUCCACUAAUUGCUUGCAUGAUUAGCGCUACAUAGGAGCCUGAUACAUAUGGUGCAACAAUCGAUCUGGAUAGGCAAGAGUUUGGGAGUGCAUUGAUCGAGCUUUCGCCAUUGAUGAUUGAAUCCAACACUUCGUAGAUUACCAGGUGCAUCACUUGGCCCACAUAUCAGAUCACUGCCCUAUUCUUAUUUAUACCCCUUCUCCAUUUCUUGUCAACCCUCGUUUUGAGAAAUUCUGGUUUGAUAUCCUCAAUCUUGGGAUGUGGUAUGAGAUGCUUGGAGAAUGCUAGUGAGGGGGAUCCCAUGUAUCAUGUCACUUGCAAGUUGGAGCUCACAAAGUGAAGACUGAAAUGCUGGAAUUUUACCAUAGGGGAAAUAUCUUUAGAAAAUUGGAGGUGGAAUCGAAAUUAGGGAUCUUCAAAAAAUGGAGUAUGAUCAAGGGUCUCUCGGAAGAUGAUCUUAUAUUAUUGUGAGCUUCCUUGUCUUCUCACUCCUCCCUUCUUUGCUGGUAAGAGACACUAUGGUGACAAAAAAAUCUGGUUUUAGCUGGAUUUGCGAGGGAGACAGCAAAACCACAUUCUUUCAUCAGACUACCAUGACGAGAAGAUACCAAAAUAGCAUUCACAUCUUGAAAGGAAGCAAUGUUGUGCUGAUGGAGGACAUCAAUUCUAUAUGGAAGGAGCUCUUCCAUUUCUUCAAAUCUAGAUGGACUGUUGACCUGGGUAUUGCAUCACUAGCCUUCAUCGCCUAACCCAAUUGGAUACUCCUGAGUAGGAGUAUGAGAGGUUGCUGAAGCAUGUAUCAGAUGGGGAUUUUGAGGUGGUUGUUUGGUCCUUUCCAGAGGACAAAGCACUAGGGAUUGAUGGCUUUCCACCUCUCCUCUUCCAAAGGUAUUGACCUGUUAUCUGAGGAGACAUCUGUCUUGCCAUCAAGCAAUUCUUCUCCACUUGCUUGAUGCUCCAAGCAUGGAAGGACACAUACAUCACUCUAUUGCCUAAGAGACUUGAUGCAUUAGAACCCCAUCACGUUAUACAGGAUCAUUGCCAAAAUUCUUGUUUGUAGGGUGCAACCAAUGUCCAACGUUGCUCUGACGGUAUAUUAGCCAAUCCCGACAGCCAGUCCUUUAGAGUAUUGUCCAGGCCCGUUUUGUAGCAUUCGGUCAAAGGGUAAAUCUUGAUAAAUAUGCAAUCAGUUCAGUCCUAGGACGAAAGUGAUUGUGAAGCACCUAAUCAAAAGUCAUUCGAAUAUCAUUGAAUACAGUGGGGUUUGGCAGUGCUUGGGUGUCCCAAGCACUAGGAGGGAGGACUAUGGUUGUUGAUUGUGCUUUCUUGGUUUAGUGUGUUCAUGAUAGAUUGGAAGGUUGGAAGUGGAGAUCCUUAUCAAUGAUGUGUAGGUUGGUUCUUAUUAAGUCUAUGCUUUUGCCCCUCCCUAAUUGUUUGACGGCCAACAUAGUCAUUCCUAGAUUAGUCAUCCACAAGCUUGAUUGGAUUAUGUGCAACUUCUUAUGGGGCUUGUCGGAUAUCUCUGUCUCCAUCUAUUGGCUUGGAUAUGUGUUUGUAACCAAUUCAGGAUGGGGGCCUAAGUACCCCCUCCUUGUCGCUUAGACAUGAUGCUUAAUGGCUAAGCAUGCAGCUAGAUUUAUUCUAAACAUGGACAACUAUUGGUGCUUGCUAACUCCCCUACCUUGAGGUCCAGCUUAAAAUGGAUGAUUGGUGAUGGUAGAUCGCCACACACGCUUGAUGAUCCUUGUCUCUUUACAAUCCCUUUGAAUAGCUUGCUCAUCAUCCUUGAGAACCUCAAGGUGAAGGGUUUAAUGAUUCAAGGCAAUAAGAAUUAGGACAUUUAUUUCAGCCUUUAUGCUUGUGCAGAAGAUUUGGCAUGCAAAGUGUUGUCUACUGCCAUUCUACUGCUUAAUACUUCGGAUAAAACUUGAUGGGGUACUACUGUCUCUACUAGAAUUAAAGCCAAGGAUCUUUAUAGGCUGCUUUGAGUUGGCCUUUUGGCUUCCUUGGACAUCUCCUGGGUUUGGAAGGUUGGCCCCCAUCCGAGAGAUGCUCUCUACCUCUAGAAGGUGGCUUGGAACUGGCUCCUUUGUCAUAGUACUCUACACUGUAGGAGCUUUCAAAUUGCUCCUUAUUGUGAUUGUUGCUUGGAAGUCAAGGAGACUGUUAGCCGUGCUAUUCUAAUUCCCUAGAGCCAUGUGUAUUUGGAGGUGUGCAACCCUAUUUGUUGGUUCUGUCAUCCCUUUCAAUUCCCUGGACUCUUUUGUACAAAUUUUGAGAGAGGGGUGUGCCACAAAAGGCAUGAGGGUGAUAUUACAUUUUAUGCUUAUAUUGCAUAUCAUAUAUCAUUGGCCGGUAAUGGGCAAGUGUUUGAAAAUAUUGAAUAGAGCCCCCUCUUGACUUUCAUGAAAGCUUCUACUCAAGUUGGGUGUUUCAUCCACACCAAGGCCAUCAGUAGAUCUAUAUCAGUCGGGGAAAGAUGGGUUUCCAUAUCCGCCAUUGCCACGUCAUCUCAUGUCAUAUGGGAGCCUCCACCCCUAAGCUUCGUCAAGUUUAACUUUGACGACAGUAUGAUGGAUGGCGGGGCAAAUUGUGGUGCAAGUUUUAUUAUCCACAAUUUCUAUAGUAUCAUAGUUCCGCAGGCUGAGUUGUGAUGAGCAUGGGAGGGGCUCAUAUAUGCUUCCACCAUAUUAGGGGCAACCCAGAUUUUGCUAGAGGGUGAUUUCAGGAUUGUAGUUAGCUAGAUAGCCUUUCCAGUUUCCCAUCUUGACAGGGCUGACCCUCUUCUUGUAGAUAUAUGGAAGAGCACCUCAGCCUUAAUGUCUUUGGAGGCUGCUCACGUUUAUAGGGAAGGAAAUAGUGCAUCUGACUGGGUGGCCUUCUAUGUUGCAAAUCAUUCGGGCAGCUUUGUAUGGGGACUCCAUCUGUCUUAUGCAAAUUCAUGAGCUCCUAUACUCUGAUGCCAAUGGAUGUAUUUACAUGAGGAUUUUAUCUCAUCCUUCACCCCCAAAAAGGGCAGAGAGCUGAGAAUAGUGCGAAUGAUAUUUUUGUGAUUAUCGUAAAAGUGGAGUUGAACACUCAGGUUGGAGUCGGACCCCAAGCAUUCCCUUUUUGUUAUUAGUUAAUCUCAUACAUUUAUUUAGAUGUUUCUGUUUUGCAUCAUACAGAUUUUCCAGGCAUCUAUCUAUUUUAUCUUUUUUUUGCCUCUAUAUUAGCUACAUAGCUUGAAAGGACUGCCUAAAUGGUUGGUGUUGGAUGUGGGAGCUGGGGCACCUUUAGAAUUGCCUAUUAAGUUAUAGUAAGACAUUGGCUAUCGUGAAAUCAUACUAGCCAUGUGGAUUCCCAGGUACUGUAUCAUUUAGAAGUGUUGAGUCUGGCUAUGUAGACUACUCUAUCAACUGUUUUGGUGGUUACCAUAUUCCAUUUUAAGAGUAUUUUUAUGGUUUCCAGAAGUUCUGGGAUUUUGACAUUGGCAGCCAUCCUCAAUCUCUUCUAUUUCCAGUCCUCCAUUUUGUCUAGGGCUGAAAAUGGAUCAAUCAAGACUCAUAUCCAUCUUUAUUUGGUGAUUAUGGAUGCGAAUAUGAUAUUAAUUGGAUGUGGAUCAGUCAAUACUCAUAUACAUCCUUAUUUGGUGAUUAUGGAUGCGGAUAUGAUAUUAAUUGGAUGGUAGAAUUCAUAUCCAUAUUUGUUUUAAUCUUAUGUGGAUACAAAUUGGAUAUUGACAAUAUGGGUAUAAAUAUGGAUAUAAAUUGGAUAGUCAAAACUUUCUGAUCUAUCGAAUCAAAGAUGUCAUUAUAGAGAAUGUAAAUUUAAUUAAUGACAUGCUAUUAUUAAUGUUGUGUAUCCAUAUCCGUUACUCGCUUUUCUUUGAUGGACAUGAACAUGCAUAUAGAUUAUAGAUAUUAGUCAAAUGCUUAAAUUUGUAUGCUUAUACAAAUAGAUACGGAUAUUAAAAAAUCUGAUCCAUUUUGACCAUUGAUUUUAUCUCAUCAUCUAAAUCCAAGGUUCCCAUGGAUAUUAUACAGGUUCGUAGCCUGUUAAGGAUCUGGAUUAUUGAUAGUUGUAUAAAAAGGAUAAAUAUGAUAUUAGAGACUAAUAAUAUUAAAAAAAUACAUAUCAAUCAAGAUGCAUUUGUUAGAAAUUCAUGAUUCAGAGGCCAAAAUCCAGAAGGUAUAUUUUGUUGUGACAUAGGAACAACGUACACUUGAUCUGAAAGGAGCAUGUCCUUUGUAUCCUUUUUUUUUUUUGAAUCCUCAAAUGCCAGUUCACCAUUAAUGUUUGACACGCUACCCUUUUUCUCCAUUGGAAUGCUGUUUUGUAUCAUUGUCAUUUAUUUUCUCUAUGCAAUUAACAUUCAGUUCUCCUUAGCAUCUUCUUUUUUUUGUUUUUAUUUGAAGCAUAUGACGAUGGAGAGAACCUCCUUUAUAGCUGGGAAGUUGAUUGAUGAUGGUGAUUUUUAGUUCUUUCUGGUUUCAGGUGCUUUUGACCAGAUAUCUAGUUUGCUGGUGAAUGCUGAGGGAUCUAGUUCUAAACCCCAGGAGGCUGUUGGUGAAGCUAAAGUUACCAAGCGGCAGAAUAAGCGCAUUCAAGGAUUUUAUGAAGAGUAUUCUUUGUUGAAAGAAGAGUUUGUUCAGAAUUUUAUGACAGUUACUGUGAGGAAAAGUGAUGAGUCAGACAAGAAUAUAGUGCAAUUUGACACUGAUAUGCCUGGUGAUGUUGUUGUUCACUGGGGAGUCUGUAGGGAUAAUGGCAAAAAUUGGGAAAUCCCACCUGCUCCUCAUCCUCCAGCAACCAAAAUUUUUCGGCGUAAGGCUCUUCAAACUUUGUUACAGGUACAGAGGAAGGGAACUGUAUUUUAUCUGUUUUAAAUUGUAAUUCAAAGUAUCCAUUUCAAAGGACAGAGUUAUUGUUAAAGAGCUGAAAAUUUUCUCUAUUAUCUGUAUCAGAAUUCUUUUGAAGAAAAAAAUUGCAAAAAAGAUGAUAGAAUCUGAUAUCAAGAGAUGUAGACAAAAUGGAAGUUGCAAGUUAUAUCUGUUUGAUGUUAAAUUUGGAAACUUUAAGAAAUUAUAAUAGGAAAAAGAAAGAAAUUCUUUGGAAAGCUGUGCAAUAUAGUUUAAGUAUGAAUUCAUGAUUAACUUGUCACUAUUGAAAUGACAUGGUGCAUUUUGGUAGUAAUUUUUGUGUAUGACAUUUUUUCCUUCUUUAUCUUUGAAAGAAGAAUGUAUGAUACGCAUAUACCAAUGUUUAGUUUAUUGUUUUGCUUAGUUAAAUCAAAAAACACUAACCAUUUUGAAGGAUUUGCCCUUAUUAAGUAAUUAGGACAUGAAGCAAGUAUUCAUAUGUCGCCGAAAUGGGAUGAUACCACCAGUGUUGUACUGUUUCGGUGUGAAUUUGAGACCAGGAUGCUGCCGGUCAUCAAAAUAGAUAAAAUAGGGUUGUGCAACUCCAGCGAAGGAGAAGGUGUCAAGGUGGCCAGAGAAGGAUAAGGAGAUGGUGGGGCGGUGCUGGAGGAGGCGGAGAUGGAGGAGGGGUAGUAGCCUCCCAUCAGCAACUUCAUGGAGGUUCGUGAGCGUCGAGAUGCAGCAUGGUGAUUCAUUGCUUUCAUCUCCCGCCUUUGGGCCAAGUGUGGGAAGGCGAUGGUCAUACCAGGGGGGUGGGGGAGGGUCGGGAGUAGCAGCCUUCGCUUACAAGGAUGAGGAGAGAGGGGAUUACCGAGUUUGGGUUCCUUAGUUCCUCCUUUUGCUUUGAGAACCAUUGCUUCAAUACCCAUUUUAUUUGGCAACCCACUGACCCCGUGCUAAAUCGGGCAGGUUAGGUUAUGCAUUUCAGGGUUUAAUGCCAAUUUUACCCUCAAGUUAAAUGCUCAGCCUGUCCUGAGCAUCCCAAGCAUCCAGUGCGUUGCGUUAGGACGGGAUGGUACAUGAGGCAUACCGUCCCACAGGAGAACUGGUACACCCUCGCAUCGCGGCAUUUCAACCCUUGCCAUGGAGGAUAGUAACUUGUUGGAUAUAAUUUUCAUAUAUGUUCUAAAUACCGGUACAUCCUCGUAUUGUGGUGUUUCAACCCUUGCCAUGGGGGAUAUGUAACUCUUGCUGGAUAUGAUUUUCAUAUAUGUUCUAAGUAGGAGGCUCUUCUGCUACUUGAACUGCCGGCACCUGAAUUAGUUGGUUGGAGGUACAAAUGUAAGAUAAAUGUCUUAUACCUCUAGAACCUAGAUCAUCUACUUAUUUAUGCUCUGCUAAUGAUUUAUCUGAUAUAAAGUGUUGGAAGCCUAUAUAUGUUUCUUUCUUUUUUGUCAACUAAUUUACCUUGAGAUGUACUGAAUUGCUCUUUUUUUUCCCUCCCAAAAAAAGGGAAAUCUCUUAACACUUAAUACUGACUACAGAGUUCUGUUGCAUUGCAGCCAAAAAGAAAUGGCCUUGGUAAUUGGGGAUUAUUCUUGCUGGAUAAAGGAAUAUCAGGUGUUCUUUUUGUGCUCAAGCUUAACGAAUACAUAUGGUUGAAUAAUAUGGGAACUGAUUUCUACAUCCCUCUCACAAGUGCGAGUAGUUCAUCCAUUCAAACCUGCCAGGAUAGUAUUGCAAACGAACAGCUAACAUGGACAGAGCCUCAAGACAUGAGACAUUCCUCAAAUAAUGAUGAGACAAAUCAAGCAGUUGAUCAUGCUGCAGAUACUGAUGAAAUAAUUUAUGAAAUAAGGAAUUUAGUAACUGAUAUAUCAUCUGGAAAAGGUAGAAGCACAAAAAGUAAAGAAGCACAGGAAAACAUCCUACAAGAAAUUGAAAAAUUGGCUGCAGAAGCUUAUAACAUCUUCAGAAGCUCCAUUCCAAAUUUUGUGGAGGAAUAUGUCUCUGAUGCUCAAUAUUUAAAGCCUGCUGUAAAAUUAUGUCCGGGGACAGGCUCUGGAUUUGAAAUACUAUGCCAAGGAUUUAAUUGGGAAUCUCACAAAUCAGGAAGAUGGUAUUCUGAGCUCAGUGCAAAGGCCAAGGAAUUAUCUUCACUGGGUUUUACAAUUAUAUGGUUGCCACCACCUACUGAAUCUGUAUCACCUGAGGGCUACAUGCCAAAGGAUUUAUAUAAUCUGAAUUCCAGGUAUAUAUUUGCUACAGGAGGUUUUUUUCCUUGGGAUCCUUACUAUCUUUAAGUUCUCUAGAUGUAUAUAUUUGGCUUCUUUGGUAAUUUGCAAUUUCCUGUUUUGGUCAACAUAGAUGCUGCUGCUUGGCUUUACACUUCUUACUUAAUGUGCAGUUGUGGGACACAUUCAGCUGCAUAGAUUGCUGUGUAAUAUAGCAAACAGUCUGUUUUCUUUCUCCUGUGAGAAACCUGCAUUAUUUGGAACAUGGAUUCAUCAAUUUUUUAGUGGUGUUUGAAGACUUGAAGAUACUGUUUGUUCUUGUUGAAAUGUGAAUUUAUAGGUUAAACCAAGUCCAACUGUCACGUGAUGAAUCUUAUAAAUGCUAAGAGUUAUCUUGCACGUCAUUACUUGUACAGAUUUAUUGUCUGGAAUAGAAACUUAUAAUAAAUAAGAAACAUAGCGAGCUGAGCGCCCUCAGGAUGUAUCAGCUAUCAAAGUCUGCAACCGGCAGUUGCAUGAAUCAGCUGACUUCAUUUUGAAUUAGUCGCUUAGAGCAAGUGCUCAAUGCAAGUGGGCGUGUAUCGAGAGGCUGAAGUUGAAUAGAAGCCAAAAAGUUGUGAGGAAGUAAAAGUUGUGAGGAAGUAAAAGAAUUAUAUUGUCAUCAUCAAGCAUUGGCAUGUUUUUAGGACCACUCUCUAAAUUAGAAUGUGCUUGUUACAUUUCACACAAACAAAGUACAUUAUGAAGGAGGAUCUGUUCAUGUCCAUAAAUAUUCUUGCAUACGGAUGUUACCUUGAAUGUAGAUUUGAGUAUCUUUGGCACCAAAAAAGAAAGGUUUUAUCUUAGUGGAAUUUGACAUUAUCUGACUGAAUGUGCAUACUACAUGAAUGCAUCCUUGUUCAUUAUCUUAAGAAGAUGGAUAGUUAUGCCAUAUGGUUUUGAAUAUUCAUGUGAAUGGAUGUAAUAUAGUUAUGAGCUUUUUGGAGGGAAAAACGGGCACGGAUAAAGUUCAAAUCAACAUCAAGUGCUGGCAAUUGGCAUCUGUGUGGUUUGAUUAGUUCUGCCAAUUUUAUGUAUUAUUGUUGUUUUUAUGUGUUAGCUGCAUAUUUUAGGAAAACAUGAACAUGUCUAUCUAGUUGCUUUUUAGGGUUGCUAAUGUUCGGCUCACCUUAACCUUUUCUUUCUUUUUGGUCUGGAACAUAACCUGAGUUAGCAAUUAAGCAACCCUUUGAUUCCAUUCUCCAAGGCUCUCAAGGCCAAGCUAGGAAGCACUGUUAUAGCUGAUAAGUUUAUUCCAGAUCCUGAAAGUUCUUCGAGCUACAGUAUUGCUUUGCUCUUUUGUUAACUGCAUGUUGACUUCAUAUCAUGGAAUUUAUCAGAUAUGGAAGCAAGGAACAACUGAAGGACCUUGUGAAAAGGUUUCAUGAAGUGGACAUUAAAGUUCUUGGCGAUGCUGUCUUAAAUCAUCGAUGCGCUCACUAUCAGAAUCAGAAUGGCAUAUGGAAUAUUUUUGGUGGUCAUUUGAAUUGGGAUGACCGAGCUAUUGUUGCUGAUGAUCCACAUUUCCAGGUAACAGGUUAUCAUUUGUGACACAAUGGUCUUUUUGACAAGGAAGUUUAAGAAUGUUUCCGGCAGGAUUGCUGCUUGUACUGAAUAUACUUAUAACUGCUAUUCUGUUAAGAGAUAAACUGGCAGGAACAUAUAGUUUUUGCAAGUGAAGACUAUUAUCUUUGAGUAGUUUGUGGCUUAUGUACUUUGAUGGCAUUUGAUUUCUAAAAAGAAUAAUAUAUAUAAAGCUAUAACAUAACGGAAUUAGAUAUCAUGAUUUCUGUUAUAUCAGUUCAGGAAUACAAUAUCGUGAUUUAAUGCACAAAGUUAUUGGUAGUUUCCAAGUUCCCAUGUUUGGAAAACUUUUGAUGAUAUCAUGGUAUAUUUUCGCAGAUCUAUAUGAAAUGUUUAGGAAGGGGAUGAUUAUUGUUGUUAACGCAUACAAAACUAGAAUUAGAUAAAAAUGCAUAUGAGGAAUUGCAUGGGAGAACAUGGAAUUUUUGAUAUGCGCUGCCCCGAAAUUAGGCAAUGAAUUGCAUAGAAGAUUCCAACACCCCCUUCUUUUUCUCUCUUGCUUCACUUCUUUUUUCUGCUAUAUCACUUAUUCCUUGUCCUAGAACCAAGUCUUUUCCAAAUACACUCUGCAAGCGAGGAAAAAUUGAAUUUCAAAUGUAUACCACAUAUGAUGUUGGAUUAAGUCAAUAAUUGUACGAGAAGUGUUAAUAGUAGUUUUAACGGGUGAAUAUGUAUCUCUAAUUGUAUUUUGGUACUUAGAUUCUUUGUAGUCAGAAUAUUCUAUCUAGGGUAACAUCCACCUCCAGAGUGCUUCCUUACUAAAACUGUUUUUAAAGUAUCUGUUUCCCUGCAUCUGCACUCGCUCUUGAUUCGAGCAACUAUGCUCGGAUUACAUCCUUUUGCUGUGAAUCGCCAUUUUUUUUGAACUUGUUGCAAGUGAAAUAACAACCAAUGCUAAAAGGGACGAUUUUUUAUGUUAGUAAUUUUGUAUUCUUUUUUGACUGAGUUGGGAAAGUUGAAAUAGAUCCAUAAUUAAUUUUUCACAAUAUGUCUCACUGGAUUCUCUAAUGAUCUCGAGUCAUAUUUUGAGACUGAUUGAUGGAACUUGGAAACAUGUUUUGGAGUUCAUGCAUUAUCCUUAUAUGGGACGUAAAGCCAAGGUUCGUUGUGCUGGUACUGGAGUCCAUACUGGCCGGCCGGCAGCAUGGUUCGGUAUGCCCCUGUUUCGUUCCAUAUUGGGCCUGUAUCGACACAACAAAGAAGACGAGGGUGAGGGAGAGUGAGAACGGGAGAGAGGUAAAGAGAGAGGAGGAAGGGAGAGGNNNNNNNNNNNNNNNNNNNNNNNNNNNNNNNNNNNNNNNNNNNNNNNNNNNNNNNNNNNNNNNNNNNNNNNNNNNAGUAAAGUCGGCAAGGGGUUUGCCGACUUCACUUAAAAAUUUGGGCCUAUUUUUUUAUUUUGAAAAUUUUAAGUGAAGUCGGCAAACCCCUUGCCGACUUCAAUUAAAAUUUUCAAAAUAAAAAAAGGCCUCGACGGACCGCUUGCUCUGGCCCACCCUCCCUCUCCCUCUCCCUCUCCCUUCCUCCCUCCUCUCUUUUUCUCUCUUUCCUUCUCCCUCCCCCUCUUGCCGGUUUCCUAUUUUGAAUUCUAGAACCAUCCUAGUCUGCUGCCGGCACGGCUCGGUACGCCUCGAAUUGGAUAAUUCGGGGUGGUUCCGCAUUCCUUUAGUAAAGCUAUUAUCUACCCCUAUGGGGACUAAAUGUGAUUAUCAUUAUGGCAGAAUCUACAUGAUAUGUUUAAUGUCCAUAUGCGCUCAAUAUAAGAGUUAAUACUACAUAAAAGGGAAACAUGAUAGAUAUUUGCCCAUCAUGUAAUGUAAUACCAUGUGAUAUGCUACUAUACUUUAUCACCCUCAUGCACCAUAUGGAAUCUACACUUCAUCCUGUGAGUUAGGUUAUAUAUACUGGUGAUUCCCAUUAUUGGGGGUGUGCAAAAAGCCGGCCAAAUCGUGAACCUAACCUCAAUCGGUCUCUUUGGUUUGGUUUAUAUCAAUUUUUUUAAAAUUCGAUUUGGUGUUUGUUUGAGAAAGUUUUGAAUCGAAAAAAUUUGGUUUGAUUUCGGUUGAGUUUUCAAAAACCCGAUUCAAAUCAAACCAUAUGUAUAUAUAAGUAUAUAUAUUUAAACAGAAUUGACCCAACCUAACCCACAUGUAUAUAUACAUAUGUAUUUCAAUUUUUUAAUUUUUUAUAUGUUUAGACUUAGCCUAGCCUAUUUAGUCUAGUCCAUUGAACAUCAAUCUUUUAUAAAAUGGAAUUUUUAUGUUUAGACUUAACCUAGCCCAUGUAGUCCAACCCAUUGAAUAUCAACCCGAUAAACCGAGCCAAACCGAAUUUUUCAGGUCAAUUUGAACCGGUUUUUUAGCAAGUCGUUUUGGUUUUGGUUUUGGUUUUAGAAAAUUGGUUUAAAUCGGUUUGGUUCCAAAAAUAAUCCUAAACCGACCCGACUUGAACCAUGCACACCCCUACCCAUUAUUCAGCAUCCAGGUGUUACCCCCUAUGCAUUAAAACAAACAGAAUCAGUAAGGUCUAUGGAACAUCCAACUUUAUGUUUACUUACCAGCAACUGAGCAUGUGCAAUUCGUGUUUGAAGGAAAACAUAUAAGGUUUUAUAUUAUAGCAGAUAUAUAGUAUAAAAAA